rnacentral:rRNA from 1 species
AUGGUAUUGAGUAUUUCAAUAUUGAACUUCACAUUCAUUGCUCGCAAUUUCUGGAACAGUGCAAUCGCUUCAUCUACACAAUUAUUUCUACAAAGACCUCCAAGUUUUAUAUUGUAUAUGAGAAUGUCCACUGUUGUUCCACUUUCAAUCAUCUCAUGGAACAUUUCCAUUGCAGCGACAGUUCUCCCACACUAG